rnacentral:rRNA from 1 species
UACGUAGGGUGCAAGCGUUGUCCGGAAUUAUUGGGCGUAAAGAGCUCGUAGGCGGUCUGUCGCGUCUGCUGUGAAAACUCAGGGCUUAACCCUGAGCUUGCAGUGGGUACGGGCAGACUAGAGUGCGGUAGGGGAGACUGGAAUUCCUGGUGUAGCGGUGAAAUGCGCAGAUAUCAGGAGGAACACCGGUGGCGAAGGCGGGUCUCUGGACAUUUCCUGACGCUGAGGCACGAAAGCCAGGGGAGCAAACGGG